rnacentral:rRNA from 1 species
GACGAACCGUGCGAACGUUGUUCGGAAUCACUGGGCUUAAAGGGCGCGUAGGCGGGCUGUCAAGUCUGGGGUGAAAUCCCGCGGCUCAACCGUGGAACUGCCUUAGAUACUGACGGCCUCGAGGAAGGUAGGGCAUGCGGAACUGUAGGUGGAGCGGUGAAAUGCGUUGAUAUCUACAGGAACUCCGGUGGCGAAAGCGGCGUGCUGGACCUUUCUGACGCUGAGGCGCGAAAGCUAGGGGAGCAACGGGAUUAAGAUACCCAGUACG